GGUCCGCUGGCUCAAUGGCAGAGCGUCUGACUACGACUUGAGAAAGUGAUCAGGAGGUUCCAGGUUCGACCCCUGGGUGGAUCG